CCUACGGUGGGCAGCAGUGGGGAAUAUUGGGCAAUGGGCGCAAGCCUGACCCAGCAACGCCGCGUGAAGGAAGAAGGCUUUCGGGUUGUAAACUUCUUUUCUCAGGGACGAAGCAAGUGACGGUACCUGAGGAAUAAGCCACGGCUAACUACGUGCCAGCAGCCGCGGUAAUACGGAGGUGGCAAGCGUUAUCCGGAUUUACUGGGUGUAAAGGGCGUGUAGGCGGGACUGCAAGUCAGAUGUGAAAACCACGGGCUCAACCUGUGGCCUGCAUUUGAAACUGUAGUUCUUGAGUACUGGGGAGGCAGACGGAAUUCCUAGUGUAGCGGUGAAAUGCGUAGAUAUUAGGAGGAACACCAGUGGCGAAGGCGGCUUACUGGACUGUAAAUGACGCUGAGGCUCGAAAGCGUGGGGAGCAAACAGGAUUAGAUACCCCAGUAGUC
rnacentral:rRNA from 1 species